UGGCGGACGGGUGAGUAACGCGUGGAAAACCUGCCGUAUACUGGGGGAUAACACUUAGAAACAGGUGCUAAUACCGCAUAAGCGCACAGGAGCGCAUGCUCCUGUGUGAAAAACUCCGGUGGUAUGGGAUGGACCCGCGUCUGAUUAGCCAGUUGGCAGGGUAACGGCCUACCAAAGCGACGAUCAGUAGCCGGCCUGAGAGGGUGGACGGCCACAUUGGGACUGAGACACGGCCCAAACUCCUACGGAAGGCAGCAG
rnacentral:rRNA from 1 species